UUGUUAUUUUUUGGUUAUUAGAGACACUAGGGGAGAGGAAGAGGAAACUAAAUGAGCAGAUGAAACGAGGCGUGGAAGAUCCAGACGAGGAGAGAUGACUACUGGGUGGAGGUAGCAGGACAGAAUGAAGCACAGGGAGACGAGGCCUCCGACUCGUCAUGCUGAGCAGCUACACACUCAGCUCUGACUCCUCGGGCUGGAUUAGAUGCUGACAGAACAGGUG